rnacentral:rRNA from 1 species
UACGGAGGAUCCGAGCGUUAUCCGGAUUUAUUGGGUUUAAAGGGUGCGUAGGCGGCCUGUUAAGUCAGGGGUGAAAGACGGUGGCUCAACCAUCGCAGUGCCCUUGAUACUGACGGGCUUGAAUACACUAGAGGUAGGCGGAAUGAGACAAGUAGCGGUGAAAUGCAUAGAUAUGUCUCAGAACACCGAUUGCGAAGGCAGCUUACUAUGGUGUGAUUGACGCUGAGGCACGAAAGCGUGGGGAUCAAACAGG